rnacentral:rRNA from 1 species
AUUAACUGAAUCCAUAGGUUAAUGAGGCGAACCGGGGGAACUGAAACAUCUAAGUACCCCGAGGAAAAGAAAUCAACCGAGAUUCCCCCAGUAGCGGCGAGCGAACGGGGAGCAGCCCAGAGCCUGAAUCAGUGUGUGUGUUAGUGGAAGCGUCUGGAAAGGCGUGCGAUACAGGGUGACAGCCCCGUACACAAAAAUGCACAUAUUGUGAGCUCGAUGAGUAGGGCGGGACACGUGGUAUCCUGUCUGAAUAUGGGGGGACCAUCCUCCAAGGCUAAAUACUCCUGACUGACCGAUAGUGAACCAGUACCGUGAGGGAAAGGCGAAAAGAACCCCGGCGAGGGGAGUGAAAAAGAACCUGAAACCGUGUACGUACAAGCAGUGGGAGCACGCUUAGGCGUGUGACUGCGUACCUUUUGUAUAAUGGGUCAGCGACUUAUAUUCUGUAGCAAGGUUAACCGAAUAGGGGAGCCGAAGGGAAACCGAGUCUUAACUGGGCGUUAAGUUGCAGGGUAUAGACCCGAAACCCGGUGAUCUAGCCAUGGGCAGGUUGAAGGUUGGGUAACACUAACUGGAGGACCGAACCGACUAAUGUUGAAAAAUUAGCGGAUGACUUGUGGCUGGGGGUGAAAGGCCAAUCAAACCGGGAGAUAGCUGGUUCUCCCCGAAAGCUAUUUAGGUAGCGCCUCGUGAAUUCAUCUCCGGGGGUAGAGCACUGUUUCGGCAAGGGGGUCAUCCCGACUUACCAACCCGAUGCAAACUGCGAAUACCGGAGAAUGUUAUCACGGGAGACACACGGCGGGUGCUAACGUCCGUCGUGAAGAGGGAAACAACCCAGACCGCCAGCUAAGGUCCCAAAGUCAUGGUUAAGUGGGAAACGAUGUGGGAAGGCCCAGACAGCCAGGAUGUUGGCUUAGAAGCAGCCAUCAUUUAAAGAAAGCGUAAUAGCUCACUGGUCGAGUCGGCCUGCGCGGAAGAUGUAACGGGGCUAAACCAUGCACCGAAGCUGCGGCAGCGACACUAUGUGUUGUUGGGUAGGGGAGCGUUCUGUAAGCCUGUGAAGGUGUACUGUGAGGUAUGCUGGAGGUAUCAGAAGUGCGAAUGCUGACAUAAGUAACGAUAAAGCGGGUGAAAAGCCCGCUCGCCGGAAGACCAAGGGUUCCUGUCCAACGUUAAUCGGGGCAGGGUGAGUCGACCCCUAAGGCGAGGCCGAAAGGCGUAGUCGAUGGGAAACAGGUUAAUAUUCCUGUACUUGGUGUUACUGCGAAGGGGGGACGGAGAAGGCUAUGUUGGCCGGGCGACGGUUGUCCCGGUUUAAGCGUGUAGGCUGGUUUUCCAGGCAAAUCCGGAAAACUAAGGCUGAGGCGUGAUGACGAGGCACUACGGUGCUGAAGCAACAAAUGCCCUGCUUCCAGGAAAAGCCUCUAAGCAUCAGGUAACAUCAAAUCGUACCCCAAACCGACACAGGUGGUCAGGUAGAGAAUACCAAGGCGCUUGAGAGAACUCGGGUGAAGGAACUAGGCAAAAUGGUGCCGUAACUUCGGGAGAAGGCACGCUGAUAUGUAGGUGAAGUCCCUCGCGGAUGGAGCUGAAAUCAGUCGAAGAUACCAGCUGGCUGCAACUGUUUAUUAAAAACACAGCACUGUGCAAACACGAAAGUGGACGUAUACGGUGUGACGCCUGCCCGGUGCCGGAAGGUUAAUUGAUGGGGUCAGCGCAAGCGAAGCUCUUGAUCGAAGCCCCGGUAAACGGCGGCCGUAACUAUAACGGUCCUAAGGUAGCGAAAUUCCUUGUCGGGUAAGUUCCGACCUGCACGAAUGGCGUAAUGAUGGCCAGGCUGUCUCCACCCGAGACUCAGUGAAAUUGAACUCGCUGUGAAGAUGCAGUGUACCCGCGGCAAGACGGAAAGACCCCGUGAACCUUUACUAUAGCUUGACACUGAACAUUGAGCCUUGAUGUGUAGGAUAGGUGGGAGGCUUUGAAGUGUGGACGCCAGUCUGCAUGGAGCCGACCUUGAAAUACCACCCUUUAAUGUUUGAUGUUCUAACGUUGACCCGUAAUCCGGGUUGCGGACAGUGUCUGGUGGGUAGUUUGACUGGGGCGGUCUCCUCCUAAAGAGUAACGGAGGAGCACGAAGGUUGGCUAAUCCUGGUCGGACAUCAGGAGGUUAGUGCAAUGGCAUAAGCCAGCUUGACUGCGAGCGUGACGGCGCGAGCAGGUGCGAAAGCAGGUCAUAGUGAUCCGGUGGUUCUGAAUGGAAGGGCCAUCGCUCAACGGAUAAAAGGUACUCCGGGGAUAACAGGCUGAUACCGCCCAAGAGUUCAUAUCGACGGCGGUGUUUGGCACCUCGAUGUCGGCUCAUCACAUCCUGGGGCUGAAGUAGGUCCCAAGGGUAUGGCUGUUCGCCAUUUAAAGUGGUACGCGAGCUGGGUUUAGAACGUCGUGAGACAGUUCGGUCCCUAUCUGCCGUGGGCGCUGGAGAACUGAGGGGGGCUGCUCCUAGUACGAGAGGACCGGAGUGGACGCAUCACUGGUGUUCGGGUUGUCAUGCCAAUGGCACUGCCCGGUAGCUAAAUGCGGAAGAGAUAAGUGCUGAAAGCAUCUAAGCACGAAACUUGCCCCGAGAUGAGUUCUCCCUGACUCCUUGAGAGUCCUGAAGGAACGUUGAAGACGACGACGUUGAUAGGCCGGGUGUGUAAGCGCAGCGAUGCGUUGAGCUAACCGGUACUAAUGAACCGUGAGGCUUAACCUUACAACGCCGAAGGUGUUU